rnacentral:rRNA from 1 species
GAUGAACGCUGGCGGCGUGCCUAAUACAUGCCAGUCGAGCGAACGGACGAGAAGCUUGCUUCUCUGAUGUUAGCGGCGGACGGGAGAGUAACACGUGGAUAACCUACCUAUAAGACUGGGAUAACUUCGGGAAACCGGGUCUAAUACCGGAUAAUCUUUUGAACCGCAUGGUUCAAAAGUGAAAGACGGUCUUGCUGUCACUUAUAGAUGGAUCCGCGCUGCAUUAGCUAGUUGGUAAGGUAACGGCUUACCAAGGCAACGAUGCAUAGCCGACCUGUGAGGGUGAUCGGCCACACGGGAGCGGAGACACGGUCCAUGCUCCUACGGGAGGCAGCAGUAGGGAAUCGUCCGCAAUGGGCGAAAGCCUGACGGAGCGACGCCGCGUGAGUGAUGAAGGUCUUCGGAUCGUAAAACUCUGUUAUUAGGGAAGAACAUAUGCGUAAGGAACUGUGCACAUCUUGACGGUACCUGAUCAGAAAGCCCCGGCUAACUACGUG